rnacentral:rRNA from 1 species
UGGGGAAUUUUGGACAAUGGGCGAAAGCCUGAUCCAGCAAUGCCGCGUGUGUGAAGAAGGCCUUCGGGUUGUAAAGCACUUUUGUCCGGAAAGAAAUCCUCUGGGUUAAUACCUCGGGGGGAUGACGGUACCGGAAGAAUAAGCACCGGCUAACUACGUGCCAGCAGCCGCGGUAAUACGUAGGGUGCAAGCGUUAAUCGGAAUUACUGGGCGUAAAGCGUGCGCAGGCGGUUUUGUAAGACGGAUGUGAAAUCCCCGGGCUUAACCUGGGAGCUGCAUUCGUGACUGCAACGCUAGAGUAUGGCAGAGGGGGGUAGAAUUCCACGUGUAGCAGUGAAAUGCGUAGAGAUGUGGAGGAAUACCGAUGGCGAAGGCAGCCCCCUGGGCCAAUACUGACGCUCAUGCACGAAAGCGUGGGGAGCAAACA